GGGGAUGUAGCUCAGUUGGGAGAGCAUCUGCUUUGCACGCAGAAGGUCGCAAGUUCGAUCCUUGUCAUCUCCACCA
rnacentral:tRNA from 1 species